rnacentral:tRNA from 1 species
GGUAAAAUGGCUGAAAAUUAGGCGAUAAAUUGUAAAUUUAUUUAUGAGAGUUAUCUCUUUUACU